CGUUAGACGAACGGUCUGGAAAGUCCGACGAUACAGGGUGAUAGUCCCGUAGUUGACGACGUGUGUUCAGUGAAAUCGAGUAGGGCGGGACACGUGAUAUCCUGUCUGAAUAUGGGGGGGACCAUCCUCCAAGGCUAAAUACUACUGACUGACCGAUAGUGAACCAGUACCGUGAGGGAAAGGCGAAAAGAACCCCUGUGAGGGGAGUGAAAUAGAACCUGAAACCGUGUACGUACAAGCA
rnacentral:rRNA from 1 species